rnacentral:rRNA from 1 species
CAGUAGCCGCGGUAAUGCAGAGGAUGCAAGCGUUAUCCGGAAUGAUUGGGUGUAAAGCGUCUGUAGGUGGCUUUUCAAGUCCGCCAUCAAAUCCCCGGGCUCAACCCUGGACAGGCAGUGGAAACUACCAAGCUGGAGUACGGUAGGGGCAGAGGGAAUUUCCGGUGGAGAGGUGAAAUGCGUUGAGAUUGGAAAGAACACCAACGGUGAAAGCGCUCUGCUGGGCCGACACUGACACUGAGAGACGAAAUCUAGGGGAGCAAAUGGGAUUAGAUACCCCAGUAGUCCCUGUCUCUUAUAC